UGGCGCACGGUGGAGUAACACGUGACUAACCUACCCUCGAGUGGGGAAUAACCUAGAGAAAUCUGGGCUAAUACCGCAUAACACUUACGAGUCAAAGCAGCAAUGCGCUUGGGGAGGGGGUCGCGGCAGAUUAGCUAGUUGGCGGGGUAAUGGCCCACCAAGGCGAUGAUCUGUAUCCGGCCUGAGAGGGCGCACGGACACACUGGAACUGAAACACGGUCCAG
rnacentral:rRNA from 1 species